GUCUGCCUGAGACAAUACCUCAGAAUUGUCAGGGUGCUCAGCAAUCCGCACCUGACAGUGCUGGGGUUUAGUCUCAGCAGAC
rnacentral:pre_miRNA from 1 species